rnacentral:rRNA from 1 species
UAAGCAUAUCACUAAGGGGAGGAAAAGAAACUAACAAGGAUUCCCUCAGUAACGGCGAGUGAAGCGGGAAGUAGCCCAGCACCGAAUCCCCCAGCCUUUGUCCGGGGCGGCGGGAACUGUGGUGUUUAGGACGACCUCUGAGUCGGCACCGCGCGUCCGAGUCCUCCUGAUCGGGGCCCUCUCCCACAGCGGGUGUAAGGCCUCUACCGGCGCGCGUGGCCGUCGCUCUGAGCGUCCUCGGAGUCGGGUUGUUUGAGAAUGCAGCCCAAAGCGGGUGGUAAACUCCAUCUAAGGCUAAAUACGGACACGAGACCGAUAGCGGACAAGUACCGUGAGGGAAAGUUGCAAAGAACUUUGAAGAGAGAGUUCAAGAGUACGUGAAACCGUUUAGAGGUAAACGGAUGGGACCGCAAAAGUCGACCCGCGGAAUUCAACUCGCCCGGCGGAAGCCGGCGGGGGUGCCUCACCGGAUCCCUUGUAGGACCGGCCCCCCGCCGAGGCGGAAGCAGGGCGCGUGCAUUUUCCGCGGGGAGAGCGCCACGACCGGUCCGACGGCGGCCUGAAGCCGAUCCGUACGGGAAGGUGCCCGGAGGGACCCUCGGGUCUCGACGGCGUUACAGCCCGGAUGGGUAUUGGCCCGCCCGGAGGACCGAGGUCGAAUCGAUCGAUACCGUGCCCGCCGUCGUUAGAGGCAGGGGCGUCCGGGGGGUCCCGGCGAGUUCGGCAGGGGCGGACUGUUCGCAGUGCGCUCCGACUGCCCGCCGGGACGCUUAAACCCCCGGGUCCGUCAGACCCCAGGUGGUGGCACUCGAGGUCGGUGGCGAAUCGGUCGGCACCCCAUCCGACCCGUCUUGAAAACACGGA